CCAUGGGUGGAAAAUAUGCUCAAAAAAGAAGAAGAAUUAAUUCGCUCAGACAAAGUUCCAGCUAAGACGAAACACGACAGAGAGGACUAUACAUGCACAAAAGAAGCAGAAGAUUCAUUAAGCUCACAUAAAGUUCCAACUAAGACUGAACGUUGUACCAUAUCGUAAUCAUCUUUAAAACGCAGACAUGGUGGUGGUAAUCAACGAAAUUUCAAUUCAAAGAAGUUAAAUAAUUAAAGACAUACUAAGCUAGUAUGGACGUACUAGCAGGAUAUAUGGCAACGUUAGAGAAAAGUAUUAGAGGAUAUAAAAGUGUGAGAGAAGUGAUAAAUUGGCUGAAUGAAACUACAUAUAACCUGUGCAAAUGUUGCAUUUAAUUAUGUUACUGCACCUAGUUCAUAACUGGUUAGACGGUACUUGCAUUUCUAGAAGGAAUUUUGGUAGCUCGUCUACAUCAUACAUGAGAUCUGGCUGCGGUUUCAUUAGACUGUAUUUUAUCCGCCUUGCGAAAUUUGGUACCUAACAAGACUAUGGCGGUAUCAUGGCACUAUCCGGACACCUGCUUUUUCCUCUCUUUUUUAUAUGAUACUCGUCAAUAUUAAAGAAGGCUGUCAUGGUAAAACUGGUGGGAAAGUAAAAUAAACGAUUAACCGCGACUGGUUAAUUUUUCUAAAACUGUAAACUGAAACAAGAGACUCUCAGGACGCAUGCAUAAUGUCACAGGAAGGCACUUUUUUCAAAAUAUACUCUAAACAGUUACGCAAAACUUAUUGAAUAAAUGCCAACACCCCGUUACAAUAGAGUAUCUAGUAGUUUGCUAAUAUUGUAACAAAAGCUUCCGGAUACCUGUUGCUUCUACUAAAGUAAUACAAAUAUUAAAAUUUCAUCCCAGCUUUGCCAACGUAUCUGGAAAACUACAAAUUGGAGAAAAGCAUUAAGACUAGAAGACACAUACAUUUAUGGCAUUCAGCGAACAACAAAGUAUGUGGUCCUAGGAGAAAUGCAGGCCAUCUUGUAAUAUAAAAUAUAAGGGUAUAACUGUAUAUUGUGAAACGAUUUUUGCUUUCGUUAUGUAUUCUGAGUUACUGAAAAAUUACCAAAAACAAAACAAAAAAAAAGCUUUUGGUCAGAACGCAAAGAUACAUUGUAAAAUAGAUUUUUGCUAGCGACAACAUUGUUUAAUGACAUUCACUUUUCAAAGAACAUAUACAGACACUGUAUGUAAUAAAAUAUAUAUGUAAUACGUCGGUCAUUUAAGCUUUAGGAUUAAACUCACACAUAAUCUCUUUUUUUGGGUGCGGAAUAAGUAGUUUGUAAGGAAUGUAACACAGAAAAAGGUCCUCAAAAUAUUAUGUCACAUUUGGAAGUUACGUCUAAUGCGUACAGUGGCCGUUACUGUUUGCCAUAUGCUGUCCUAGCGGCGUCGAGUGUAUGGGAUACACUUAUUUUGGACCAUGUAAAGAUAGUUAUGAAUAGUUUCGAAACGAUAAAAAGAACACAGAGAAUAGUGUGUUAAAGGCCCCACGAUAUUGCACAAUAAAUGUAAGUGAAUAAACAAAAAAUGUCAAAAAGAAAACAUAAAAAAUACAUGUAAUGCAAAUUAUAAUGUGAUAUAAAACAAUAUUAUUUGUCAUUCCUCUCCUUAUUUGUAGAGCAGAAAAUAUUUUUUACUUAAAAAUUCUUCAAAAUGUGUAUCCGAUUUAUUGAUAAGAGAGGUAACUCUAAGCCAAGUUUUCUAUUUCUGACCUUAGUAUGAUCUACUUACCUGAUAAAUGGAAUUUAUACCACAGUUAACUUAUUUUAAACCUUUUUUGUCUUAUUUUCUUUGUUUAUAGGUACAGUGAUGUAAUUUGAGAAUGCGCACAUAUUUGCAGAUUCCUUUAACAGUUGUAUUUUUAAAUAAUUUUUAUGGUUACCUUAACUUUGAAGAAGCAAUAUAAAGAGUAUGCAUGUAAUAUUAUUGUUUUCUUCGACAAAAAGUUUGGUUGCUUUUGCAACGGAAACAGUAAAAUGUUGUGUAUAAACUGAAUCUUGAAAUCUAUUUUGUAUGUGACUAAGGUACAUGGAAAUUUAUCAGUGAAUAGAAAAUACUCAUUACAUUAUUGUAAUAAUAAAAAAUGGUUUAUGUGAAUCACAACUCUGAAAUAAUAAACUAUCAGCAUUUCAUCAUUUCCUAACAAUGUCAUUUCAGAUAGAGGAUUGGUCUUGCAUGGUAAUACUUCUUUAACAUGCUUAUUUUAUACUGUUUUUAACAGUUUAUAACAUAUAUUGUAUUAUGUGCUAAUGUUGAUAAUUUGUAACCAGUCAGACUAAUACAGUAAUGAUUAGGUUAUUUCUCAUAUUGCAGUAAAUGUACUUCAGACAUAACACUUGGCGGCGUCUUUGAUUCUUGCAUCAAUGAAUUUGCUUGUUGAACUUCUGGUAUGCUAUAGCAUAAAUGUUUGUUUUCAAUAUCAGAAAAAAAUAUGUUUUAAGAUUUCCAGCAGGUACUGGUAGGCUAUAUUUAGUAUUUUGCCAUCGUUGUCAAAAGCGCCGGGUGUUGAAAUUCAGAACACAGCUAUCAAAGUUCAGAACAUAGAUUUUCUAACAAAACUUAUACAUACAUGUAUCUCUAAAACAAACUCGUUGACAAUGCAGAUAUAAGAAGGAAUUGAAUUCUAAAUAUGUGUAUUUUAAAGUCAUUUACAAUAAAAUACAUACAAAGGCAUUCGAAAAAGUAAAAAUGUAUAUGUUACUGCAGAUAGAUUGUUAACAUCAAUAUUAGCUCUAAAUUCAUAAACACAUAUAACAGUUACUUGUAAAAUGCUUGGACUGUUUUAUUAUAUUAUAUAUGCAUAGAAAUAAAGAAAUCAAAACUAAUAUUUCUUGAAACUCAUUUGAUUUUAGAUAAAUGUGCAGUACUUUAGUUAAAAUCUAAAGGAAGCUGCCCUUAGAUUUCGCCUAAUUUUCACAGCAUGGCUAGGAUUUCUUUGAGGACUUUUUUUCCUGUAAUGCGAAGUAUGUUAAAAUUAUAAAUCAUCGAUAAAUCGUUAUGUUGGAAUUAUCCUAAUGUUCUCAGAUUAUUUCUUGUAAUAUAACUUGCCUAUAAGUAUUCAUGAACUGUGUUGUAUUCUGAAGGAAUAUCUUAAAUUUAGAUAUUUUUUAAAUGUUUUACACAGGACCUCUUGUAAAGACAACUACGAAGAGUAGCGCGCUGUCUGAAACUUUGCGUCUUUAUAUCAAUUCAAAUGACAUCUUAAUCGAAACACAAUAUUGUUGCUUAUAUACGCCAGGUAUGCAUCGUUGCCGACCUAAAAACUGUGAACUUAAAGUGUAUACACAAUAGAACGGAAUAAUUCAGCAUAUAAAUAACAUAAAAGUUGAAAUGAAUGGUAUAUACAUGUACAGUUUAAACUGUCGAAUUCAAGAGGAAGCGAACAAUAUACUUAUGUAACCUGUGAUAUUUUGUGCAUGUAGGAUUGGACUUGAAAAUGUAUUCGAAAUAGCCGUAUUUAGGGAUGAAUGAAUUCGACAUAUCGAGUUUUCACUUUAUGUACAUGAAAGGCAUACUAGUACGUUUUGCUAGUUUAGCAAAUAAAUAUUUAUCUAAGGUUUAGAAGUAGAUCACAAAAAAAAUACAAUUUUCCUUUUGUAAACGAACAACAUCUUUACAAAACAACUUAUCUUUCCAAUAUAUUUAGUAACGUAGAAUGUGAUACUUAAAUAUUCUAAGAGCUGCCCCCCCCCCCCCCCGCCACCCCCAUGUUUUAUUUUCAUGUAAAACAAUUCUUUCUUUCUAUGAUUUGGUGAUGUUCAAACUUUUUCUCCGUAGCAUGGACCUAACUCUUAAAAAGAAACGUUUAAAUAGUAUCAUUUUUAUCGUAAGUUUUCGUUAUUAUUUGUAUUCAAUGUUUUUUAUCUAUAAACAGAUGUUAACUCUCAUAAGGACAUAGAAUCAAAUCUCCCAAAACAUAUCUUAACAACAUAAUAAGAUCACCUUUAUCAAUGAACAUGCUUUUUUUUUUUUAUUUGUACCUUACUUAAAAUGCGUUUAUGCAUUGACAAAAGUGAUACAUGAUAUCUGAAGGAAACGGCCGGAUCCGAAUAAAAAUGUUUUGUUCUAUGGUCUCAAUUCAACGAAGUGUUUCCGUCAAUUUUUACUUUUUUACAACGUUAGACUUAUUUGAAAGCAAUGUAAUAUAAACCUAUAUCCGUGUAGUUGCAAACGUAUAAGUGUGUCCUGGUAAUGUUUGUUAAGAUACCGCGUGUUGUUUUCGAGUGUAAUUACAUCUGUAGAAUCCGGAGGGAUUGGCUUGUGCUCAAGCCCGGUAGGGCGAAGGUAUCAAUGUUUCCCGAGGGACUUUGAAGACGUUAUAACACGAACUGAACAUGCGCUGAUGCUAUCAUAGCAUUACACGCGUAAAACAAAUAAAUUAAUAUAUUGUCCAUGAACGUCACUGAUUCAAAUUUCCAUGAAAUACGUGUGAAUGUCUAUGUUGUUUGUUUUAUUCAUGUUGACGUUAUUUGCUUUUGAACGAUCCGUUUUGUGACCGUAAUACGUUUACGCUUUGCCAGGGAGUGCUCAUACAUAAAAAGGUGUUUUAUCGCCACGUGAGCGCGAGAUUCUCUCUGUUAACACACGUUUUCUCUCCUAUUUAAACACCCCAGAAAAGUGACGAGAACAGCAGUGUUAUGGUAGAAUACUUCUUGCUGAGUUUGUAAUUCUAUUAUUGUUAUCAGAGCAGUGGGCAGUCGAAACUCGGUAUCACGAAUUUCAAAGGAUCGAGCGUUUACUUCUAGAUAACCGAAAUUUUACUCAAAAUGUUAUUGCAUAUAUUUUUGAGGUGAAACUUGAAAAUGUUUUCGAGAUAGCCCGAAUUUUGAGAUAAGCCAUUUCGAGAUAAUGAGUUUCAAUUGUAAAUUUAAAAAAACGCAAUAAGUGUAGCGAAAUCAAUGUCCUUCGAUAAAAAUAUCAUUAUUGUUAUUACUAAUUAUAAUAACAGCUAAAAAUUCACGCUUUAUAUAAAACACUGGAAUAGACAGUGAUUGGUUGGUGAACAAAAGACAAAUGUUCUUUAGAAUUGUUAGUGUGGUUUAUCAGCAGAUUCACAAGCACAUCAAACGACUAUUAGUAAAUUGAUAAAAACUUGACAAAAAUGAAUAUUUUUUUGAUAUCUGCACUAUUUCUAUUGUCGCUGAACAUAGUGACCUAACAAUAACUUACAGAAUAUAAGUUAACGUUGUUUCUUUUAUAUAAAGAAGUAUAGUCAGAUGUGUAGAUUAUUCCAAAAGUUGUUUGCAAGUAUGAAAUAAAAAAGCUUUUGUACGAUGUAAGCAAAACUGAGUUAUAUUGUGAUAUUGUUAUUUUGUUUAAUUAAGAAGUAUGUUUCAUUUAUGAAAUUUUACUUUACAAUUUUUUUUAUAGAUAUGAGAAAAAUCUUUAUUGAAACGAUAAUGUAUCACAUAUAUUAAUGGAAAUAAAAUGCUUGAAAAUGUAAAAAUAGUUUCAUUUUAUAUCAUUUUAUAUCAAAUUUACAAACGAUAAUGUAAUUUUGUGGCUACUUGACUUUCUAAUUAAUUUAUGACUUGUCUGUUUGCUCUGUGAGAUUUCUCAAUUGCGCCAAGCACUUAACACUUGUAUAUGGUUUGAAGGCUUUCUGUACAUGAGUCAUUAGGAAACAUGCGAUGUA